AGAGUUGAUCCUGGCUCAGGAUGAACGCUGGCGGCGUGCCUAACACAUGCAAGUCGAACGGAGUUAUAUUAGGAAGUUUCGGAUGGAAUAAAUGUAACUUAGUGGCGGACGGGUGAGUAACGCGUGGGUAACCUGCCUCAUACAGGGGGAUAACAGUUGGAAACGGCUGCUAAAACCGCAUAAGCAUACAUUGCCGCAUGGCAGAGUGUGAAAAAUAUUUAUAGGUAUGAGAUGGGCCCGCGUCUGAUUAGCUAGUUGGUAAGGUAACGGCUUACCAAGGCGACGAUCAGUAGCCGGCUUGAGAGAGUGACCGGCCACAUUGGGACUGAGACACGGCCCAAACUCCUACGGGAGGCAGCAGUGGGGAAUAUUGCACAAUGGGGGAAACCCUGAUGCAGCGACGCCGCGUGAGUGAAGAAGUAUUUCGGUAUGUAAAGCUCUAUCAGCAGGGAAGAAAAUGACGGUACCUGACUAAGAAGCCCCGGCUAACUACGUGCCAGCAGCGGC
rnacentral:rRNA from 1 species